rnacentral:rRNA from 1 species
UCCCUUCGGGGAUGAACCUAGCGGCGGACGGGUGAGUAACACGUGGGCAACCUGCCUUAUAGAGGGGAAUAGCCUUCCGAAAGGAAGAUUAAUACCGCAUAACAUUACAUUUUCGCAUGAAGAAGUAAUUAAAGGAGUAAUCCGCUAUAAGAUGGGCCCGCGGCGCAUUAGCUAGUUGGUGAGGUAACGGCUCACCAAGGCGACGAUGCGUAGCCGACCUGAGAGGGUGAUCGGCCACAUUGGGACUGAGACACGGCCCAGACUCCUACGGGAGGCAGCAGUGGGGAAUAUUGCACAAUGGGGGAAACCCUGAUGCAGCAACGCCGCGUGAGUGAUGAAGGUCUUCGGAUCGUAAAGCUCUGUCUUCAGGGACGAUAAUGACGGUACCUGAGGAGGAAGCCACGGCUAACUACGUGCCAGCAGCCGCGGUAAUACGUAGGUGGCGAGCGUUGUCCGGAUUUACUGGGCGUAAAGGGAGCGUAGGCGGAUUUUUAAGUGAGAUGUGAAAUACCCGGGCUCAACUUGGGUGCUGCAUUUCAAACUGGAAGUCUAGAGUGCAGGAGAGGAGAGUGGAAUUCCUAGUGUAGCGGUGAAAUGCGUAGAGAUUAGGAAGAACACCAGUGGCGAAGGCGACUCUCUGGACUGUAACUGACGCUGAGGC